UCAGGAUCCUGAGUACGGCGGAGCACGUGAAAUUCCGUCGGAAUCCGGGAGGACCAUCUCCCAAGGCUAAAUACUACCUAGUGACCGAUAGUGAACCAGUACCGUGAGGGAAAGGUGAAAAGCACCCCGGAAGGGGAGUGAAAUAGUUCUUGAAACCAUGUGCCUACAAGAAGUCAGAGCCCGUUAAUGGGUGAUGGCGUGCCUUUUGUAGAAUGAACCGGCGAGUUACGUUCGUAUGCCAGGUUAAGUUGAAGAGACGGAGCCGAAGCGAAAGCGAGUCUGAAGAGGGCGAAUUAGUAUGCGGAUGUAGACCCGAAACCAAGUGACCUACCCAUGUCCAGGUUGAAGGUGCGGUAAAACGCACUGGAGGACCGAACUCGUGUACGUUGAAAAGUGCUGAGAUGAGGUGUGGGUAGCGGUGAAAUUCCAAACGAACUUGGAGAUAGCUGGUUCUCUCCGAAAUAGCUUUAGGGCUAGCCUCGGAAUUAGGAUCGUGGAGGUAGAGCCACUGUUUGGACUAGGGGCCCGUCAUGGGUUACCGAAUUCAGAUAAACUCCGAAUGCCAUCGAUUUAUGUCCGGGAGUCAGACGGUGAGUGAUAAGAUCCAUCGUCGAAAGGGGAACAGCCCAGACCACCAGUUAAGGUCCCUAAAUAUAUGUUAAGUGGAAAAGGAUGUGGAGUUGCAUAGACAACUAGGAUGUUGGCUCAGAAGCAGCCACCAUUUAAAGAGUGCGUAAUAGCUCACUAGUCGAGUGAUCCUGCGCCGAAAAUGUACCGGGGCUUAAACAUAUUACCGAGACUGUGGAUGCCACCAUUAGGUGGCGUGAUAGGAGAGCGUUCUAAGGGCGACGAAGGCAGACCGUGAGGACUGUUGGAGCGCUUAGAAGUGAGAAUGCCGGUAUGAGUAGCGAAAGAUAGGUGAGAAUCCUAUCCACCGUAUGACUAAGGUUUCCUGGGGAAGGCUCGUCCUCCCAGGGUUAGUCGGGACCUAAGCCGAGGCCGAGAGGCGUAGGCGAUGGAUAACAGGUUGAGAUUCCUGUACUAGUUAAACUUGUUUGAACAAUGGAGGGACGCAGGAGGCUAAGGAAUGCACCCGAUUGGAAGUGGGUGUCCAAGCCGUAAGUCUGAAGUCGAGUCAAAUGCUUGAUUUCUUAAGGACAAGCGGUGAUGGGGAGUGAAAUUUAAGUAACGAAGUUCCUGACGUCACGCUGCCGAGAAAAGCUUCUAGUUAGAGUUUAACUACCCGUACCGCAAACCGACACAGGUAGUCGAGGAGAGUAUCCUAAGGUGAGCGAGAGAACUCUCGUUAAGGAACUCGGCAAAAUGACCCCGUAACUUCGGGAGAAGGGGUGCUGAUCGCAAGAUCAGCCGCAGUGAAAAGGCCCAGGCGACUGUUUAUCAAAAACACAGGUUUCUGCAAAAUCGUAAGAUGACGUAUAGGGGCUGACGCCUGCCCGGUGCUGGAAGGUUAAGGGGAUGAGUUAGCGUAAGCGAAGCUUUGAACUGAAGCCCCAGUAAACGGCGGCCGUAACUAUAACGGUCCUAAGGUAGCGAAAUUCCUUGUCGGGUAAGUUCCGACCCGCACGAAAGGCGUAACGAUCUGGGCACUGUCUCAACGAGAGACUCGGUGAAAUUAUAAUACCCGUGAAGAUGCGGGUUACCCGCGACAGGACGGAAAGACCCCAUGGAGCUUUACUGUAACUUGAUAUUGAGUGUUUGUACAGCUUGUACAGGAUAGGUAGGAGCCGUAGAAUCCGGAACGCUAGUUUCGGAGGAGGCGCAAGUGGGAUACUACCCUCGUUGUAUGAACCCUCUAACCCGCGCCACUAAUCGUGGCGGGAGACAGUGUCUGGUGGGCAGUUUGACUGGGGCGGUCGCCUCCUAAAAGGUAACGGAGGCGCCCAAAGGUUCCCUCAGAAUGGUUGGAAAUCAUUCGCAGAGUGUAAAGGCAGAAGGGAGCUUGACUGCGAGACAGACAGGUCGAGCAGGGACGAAAGUCGGGCUUAGUGAUCCGGUGGUUCCGUAUGGAAGGGCCAUCGCUCAACGGAUAAAAGCUACCCUGGGGAUAACAGGCUUAUCUCCCCCAAGAGUUCACAUCGACGGGGAGGUUUGGCACCUCGAUGUCGGCUCAUCGCAUCCUGGGGCUGUAGUCGGUCCCAAGGGUUGGGCUGUUCGCCCAUUAAAGCGGUACGCGAGCUGGGUUCAGAACGUCGUGAGACAGUUCGGUCCCUAUCCGUCGCGGGCGUAGGAAAUUUGAGAGGAGCUGUCCUUAGUACGAGAGGACCGGGAUGGACACACCGCUGGUGUACCAGUUGUUCCGCCAGGAGCAUCGCUGGGUAGCUAUGUGUGGAUGAGAUAAACGCUGAAAGCAUCUAAGUGUGAAACUCGCCUCAAGAUGAGAUUUCCCAUUGCCUUCGGGCAAGUAAGACCCCUGAGAGAUGAUCAGGUAGAUAGGCUAGAAGUGGAAGUGUAGCGAUACAUGGAGCGGACUAGUACUAAUCGGUCGAGGACUUAACC
rnacentral:rRNA from 1 species